GUUUAAACUGAAGAGAACCAGCUUUCAAGUGCCUUUCACAGUUAAUUCAGGAGCGCAAGAUAGACA